UGGAGCUUGCUCCGGCCGAUUAGUGGCGAACGGGUGAGUAACACGUGAGCAAUCUGCCCUUGACUCUGGGAUAACUGCGGGAAACUGUAGCUAAUACCGGAUACUUUCCUCGCUGGGCAUCCAGCGGGGAAGAAAGAAUUUCGGUCAAGGAUGAGCUCGCGGCCUAUCAGCUAGUUGGUGAGGUAAAGGCUCACCAAGGCGACGACGGGUAGCCGGCCUGAGAGGGUGACCGGCCACACUGGAACUGAGACACGGUCCAGACUCCUACGGGAGGCAGCAGUGGGGAAUAUUGCACAAUGGGCGAAAGCCUGAUGCAGCAACGCCGCGUGAGGGAUGAAGGCCUUCGGGUUGUAAACCUCUUUUAGCAGGGAAGAAGCGAAAGUGACGGUACCUGCAGAAAAAGCACCGGCUAACUACGUGCCAGCAGCCGCGGUAAUACGUAGGGUGCAAGCGUUGUCCGGAAUUAUUGGGCGUAAAGAGCUCGUAGGCGGUUUGUCACGUCUGCUGUGAAAAUCCGAGGCUCAACCUCGGACUUGCAGUGGGUACGGGCAGGCUAGAGUGCGGUAGGGGAGAAGGGAAUUCCUGGUGUAGCGGUGGAAUGCGCAGAUAUCAGGAGGAACACCAAUGGCGAAGGCACUUCUCUGGGCCGUAACUGACGCUGAGGAGCGAAAGCGUGGGGAGCGAACAGGAUUAGAUACCCUGGUAGUCCACGCCGUAAACGGUGGGUGCUAGCUGUGGGCCACAUUCCACGUGGUCCGUGACGAAGUUAACACAUU
rnacentral:rRNA from 1 species